GAUGAACGCUGGCGGCGUGCUUAACACAUGCAAGUCGAACGGAAAGGCCCAAGCUUGCUUGGGUACUCGAGUGGCGAACGGGUGAGUAACACGUGGGUGAUCUGCCCUGCACUUCGGGAUAAGCAUGGGAAACUGGGUCUAAUACCGGAUAGGACCACAUUUUGGACGGUGUGGUGGAAAGUUUUUCGGUGUGGGAUGAGCUCGCGGCCUAUCAGCUUGUUGGUGGGGUAAUGGCCUACCAAGGCGUCGACUGGUAGCCGGCCUGAGAGCGUGUACAGCCACAUUAGGACUAAGAUACGGAGCAGACUGCUACGGGAGGCAGCAGUGGGGAGUAUUACACAAUCGGCGCAAGCCUGAUGCAGAGACGCCGCGUGGGUGAUGACGGCCUUCGGGUUGUAAACACCUUUCGCUAGGGACGAAGCGCAAGUGACGGUACCUGGAGAAGAAGCACCGGCUAACUACGUG
rnacentral:rRNA from 1 species